rnacentral:rRNA from 1 species
CAGUCGCGCGGUAAGACGAACCGUGCGAACGUUAUUCGGAAUCACUGGGCUUAAAGCGUGCGUAGGCGGUUCGUUAAGUCUGUUGUGAAAGCCCCGGGCUCAACCUGGGAAUGGCAAUGGAUACUGGCGAGCUAGAGUGUGUCAGAGGAUGGUGGAAUUCCCGGUGUAGCGGUGAAAUGCGUAGAGAUCGGGAGGAACAUCAGUGGCGAAGGCGGCCAUCUGGGACAACACUGACGCUGAGGCACGAAAGCGUGGGGAGCAAACAGGAUUAGAUACCCCGGUAGUCCCUGUCUCUUAUACA